rnacentral:rRNA from 1 species
GAUGAACGCUGGCGGCGUGCCUAAUACAUGCAAGUCGAGCGAACAGACGAGGAGCUUGCUCCUCUGACGUUAGCGGCGGACGGGUGAGUAACACGUGGAUAACCUACCUAUAAGACUGGGAUAACUUCGGGAAACCGGAGCUAAUACCGGAUAAUAUAUUGAACCGCAUGGUUCAAUAGUGAAAGACGGUUUUGCUGUCACUUAUAGAUGGAUCCGCGCCGCAUUAGCUAGUUGGUAAGGUAUCGGCUUACCUAGGCAACGAUGCGUAGCCGACCUGAGAGGGUGAUCGGCCACACUGGAACUGAGACACGGUCCAGACUCCUACGGGAGGCAGCAGUAGGGAAUCUUCCGCAAUGGGCGAAAGCCUGACGGAGCAACGCCGCGUGAGUGAUGAAGGUCUUCGGAUCGUAAAACUCUGUUAUUAGGGAAGAACAAAUGUGUAAGUAACUAUGCACGUCUUGACGGUACCUAAUCAGAAAGCCACGGCUAACUACGUG